CGCGCUAAUGAGGAGGCCGGUGUUUUCUAAUCCUCUUUGCAAAUUGAUCAGACCAACGCGGGGAGAGACGAGUAGCAGUGGAAGACAGCAACGUUGAAUUUAGAGUUUGGGACAAAGUGGAUGACUCGGAGGCUCCUGGUGGCUCUACUGAUAAGCUGGUAGCGAUAGCUGGUCAGCUGGAGUAGACGUCUUGACUUGAAAUAUUAGAGUAGCAAGAGUAGGUUUUGGGUUUUGUUCGAUUAUACGCAUUCUCUUCAAUAUUGCACUGAGUAGCGAUAUUUGAUGUCAUGUUUCACUCAAAUUGGAUGCUGUGAAGUAUUGGGAGUAGCAUUGUUAGUGUUAGGAAUAAAGUAUAUUAGUAUGUGGCUUGGGGAGUGAAUUCAUAUCACACUGAAUAUUUAUGUGUUAAGAUGACUCAAACUGAGCCAUGCAAAGUGUUAGAAAUUGUUCUUUCUACUAGAAAUUCUUGGUAUUCUAAAGAUCACUGAUACAGCUUGUGGAAAUCAGUGGGCCACAAUAUCAAACUGUAUGUUUGUCUGGUGUUGUAUGUAGUUCAAUCUAUUGGAAAUCACAUCUUGUAUCCUCUUUGUUGAUAUCCUGAAAUUCACUCAAGUGGCUUGAGACUUUGUUGCAUUGAAUAUUUAGAAUGCAAGCUUGAACUGGUUCACAGGAAAUUUGUUUGGUAAAAGGGUUCUUACUGCUAUCUUAAAUAUCAUUGAAGAAUAUUGGAAAAAUUCAAAUACUAUAAUGUCAUACAGGUAGGUAUCUUCAUUGAACUAGAUUUUCUUCUAUCAGGAAAAGUGUCCUCUUUAGUAUCUUAGAAUUUAUUGAGUUACUUUAGAAACUUGAGUCUUACUUUGGAAGUUGAAUGUUGAUACAAAAGGCAUGAUACAUGCUUUGCAACAACUAUUUAUCUUUGAGUACUUCAUUAUCUUGAUAAUCAAUUAACACAAUCUGACCAUCAUUGGAUUACUUGAGCAAUCUACAUGUAUAAGUAAUGACAAUAGAAUUUAAGUACACUAUGUAUCACAGAAAGAGGAAUAUAUCUUUCAAGCGUGAUUUAGAUAAAAUCGACUGCGCUAAUUGGGCAUGCCGUCUAUUACAAAUGAGCUACUUAUGUGCUCUUGCCAGUCCAAUAUGAUCAAUUACUCUCGUCUACGCUAUGUUUAUCAAUUGUAACAGGCAAUUAGCUUGCAACUGUUCGUGCAUGGCCAACUUGUUGAGGAGAAAAAGAAAGGAUGGAGGAAAUUGAUCAACAGACUGUGAAGUUUGAAGCGUUUAUGAGAAACUUGCAGUUUCAAAUGAAAUAUUCAAUGUAACGUAUUUGUUAUAAUAUUCAGAUAGGAUGAGGAAAAACUGAAUCUGUAUAAUUAUUCAUAGCUUAUUGAUCAAUCAUGCGACGAGUUCAUUUAGGAUACUAGAGGUAACUCAAGGUGUAGUAAAUGUGAGAAUUUAUUAAGAACUGUAUAUCUGGUGUACGACAUAUUUGCACAUGUUAAAUUAAUUAAAUAAAUAUAAAAAUCACGCGAAAUCCUAAAUGAAACGUUAGCCAGCCAACUGUGUCAUUAAAAGCAUUUUCUUCAUUCUUUUUUUAAUUAUU